AACCUACUUUGUGAUUUUGAGUCAGUUGAGCACCCAUCACAUUCAUGUGAAAACAUUUGGGAAAUUGCUGAUAAAGAACUUGGAAAUAUAGAUCCAUACAGUCUGUUUACACCACCAUGCCAUGCCAAUGUUAGUCAGUUAAGUCGGCUGGUGAGAAGAAAGAAUGUAAGUGCGAACAUAUUUUAAAUUCGUUAUACAGUGCAUGUGACAGGUUUGUAGAACAUAUCAUUAUUAUUGAUGUGUUAUGUCAUGCUACAGAGAAUUGGUAGACUCGGUCUCAGUACAGAGUAUGAUCCAUGCACUGAAAGGCACUCCAUUGUAUACUUCAAUCGACCUGAGGUCCAAACAGCUCUUCACGUUGAUCUAGAUCAUAAGCCUGCCACAUGGGAGACCUGCAGGUGAUGAGAUGAUCACUAUUGAGGCACUUGAAAAUUUUCUAUCUGCAUCCACUGUAUUUGAUGUGAAUAUAAAAGGUUUGGAUUUAAAAUAAAAAUAUAGAAGGAAAAAAAAUAGGUGUAAGCUCCAAAUACGGUUCAUGUGAACUGGGAUGGGAAAGUGUUUAGAAUGUUACAGGUGAAAAUUUUCUCUCCUAUGGCAACAUCCACCCCAAAUUACACUAAUGAUCCCUUACCGUCUCCACCACACUCCACGUAUGUCAUAUUCACCUUCUCUUUCAGAUUCAUGCAUUCUCUUCAUCAUUUCAUUGCUGUCAAGUGUUCAUUUUGUUUGAGAAACAAUGCCACAUUUCUCAUGCAUAACUUCCCCCUACUCUUUGACUACAUUCUUAACUCAUUCUCUGCCUGUAUGAUUUCUUAUGGUACUUUUUAUGCCACAUACUUAACAUUUAUCAAUGUACGAAUGAUGUCAUCAUGCAUCCUUAUUCGUAUAAAGCCUAUAGCAAUUGUCUUACAAGAUGUGUCACUUCCCAUCAACACGUUAUGACUUUCCAACUCAUCAAAUAUGGUAAACCAUUCCCUUCAAGCUAUCAAGUGAAGAAAGACCAAGACAAGAUGAUAAGCUUCUUGGUUAGGUUCUUGGCUUGUAUCUUGGUGUUUAUGGUUAGGUUGUGAUUUGACUGAGGUAAGGAAGGUUAUAGGAGGAUGUGUAGACUAUCUUUGAAGGGUUCUUGAGAUUUUAGGAUAUGUUUUUGGAGGAAAUCUUGGAGGUUUCCUUGGUGAGGGUUGGCAGAAGCAAGGGCAAACAAAAACUAGGUUCUUGGUUGGUUUUUCUUGGAAUUUUGGUGUUUUUGGUCAUCUAAGGCAAGGGCUGGUUGGACCUGGUUUGAAUUAUAGGACCUUUCUUUAAGGUUGAUCGAGAGAUCACUAAGCUAGAAGAUGGUUUGGAAAGGUGUUCUUGGUGUUUCUUGAAAGGUUAUGGUGUGGGUGGUUUCGCCAAAUGCUUGUUUAGUAUUUUGGUGUGUCUUGGCUAGGUUUGGGUGGUGGAGAGAUAAGGAAUGGAAGCUUAGAAAGAUAGUAUGAUAAAAGCAAGAAAUAGAAUGGAAAUAUGAUUGAGGAUAUGUGACAAUGAUGAAUGGAAAGGAGUAAGAUAGGGUGGUGGUUUACGUUGCCAAGUGUACACAGUUCAAAUAGUUGGAAAGACUCUUGACUCUUGGCUCACUCUCUUGAAUGCUCCAAGAAAAGCAAAGAGGAAGAGAGGUCACUUAAGAAAACUCAACUAAGAUGAAGCUCACUCUCUCACAAAGAAACACAAAAUGGCUUUCAAAGCUCUCAAUUUAAUUUCUAUUCAAAGUUUGUUUACAAUGUGCUCAUACGAGUUCCUUUUUCUAAGGUCUUGGUCAUGAACAUCCAAAACCUUAUUUACAAUGUGAUACAUGUAUUACCACCUUGGUGUGUUAGCACACACCUUUAUUUAUAUUCUACCCUAGAAUAAACUAUAUUAGGAAUUACUAUCCUAUGCCUUUUUUCAAGCAAUAAUUCUUAAACAUUUAAUUAUUUUUAACUUGUCUUCUUGAGACUUUUUCUCCAAGUCCUUCUUCAAUUGAAGACUCUUUCUUUAUUCUCAGCAAAUGCUCCCUUAUGAUAGAAAGCUAACGCACUUCUAACAACCUGAACAAUUACCUCACUACCCAUCCAUAACAUGAACUAUCAUUGUUUAAUAGUUUUGGGCGAUAAAACCGUAAAGGCUUAUUUCCAUUAGGGCCCUGUUUCUUAACAUGAAGCCACUUGAAUUUUUACUUUACACCACCAUUGUUUGGACAUCUCAAUUACCAACCAAGUAUGACUUGGAUUUUCACACUGGUAUGUCACUGCUUAAACUUUUCAAUUUACUACGCAUAACUUGACAUAGAAGAUAUUCACCAAUCGAAAGGGGAGAAACACCAAGGAGACUUUAACCAAAUAAGUCAUGAGUCGAUACACAAGAAAACAUUACGCCACCUUCAACUCAAAACCUUUAGGCAAUAGGUUUGUGUGUCUUUCUCACUAUAUGUUGCUCAACUUGUCUAUCUCUACAUAAUAUGGGAUUUCAACUCACUUAACACCAACAAUACCCCCCUCAAAUGAGUCCUUUUCACAUUAGUAUGCUCCUUCUCUAGCAAAAGUAUUUCUUAGCACAAAUACCUCAAUGAUGACCAUUAUUUGCUCUACUAUUUACAACAACAGGAUACGUUGCUUGAGUCCCUGCCUAGAAAACUUUCAGUAAAAAAUGAUCCAUCACCCAUUCUAUUGUACUCGUUUAAAACGCUUUCCAAGAGGAACCAUUGACAUUAAUAUUCAAAAUCCGUUUAUACGACGAAAAAUUCUCACUUAGAUACUGUUGUUGUUGACAGUAUCUUCAAUUGGUGUGAGACUUUGGGUUUUUCCCAAUACACCUCAUGUUCAACACUUUGAGCUUGGUAUGUAUAUAACAUGGCAAGUGACUUUUUUUUAAUUGGAUCUAGGAAAUGCUCUUUUUCCCAAGUAUAGUGUGGGGUUUAUAAGGCUUUGGUCUCUCCAACUACCUUAUCUUGCUUUUAUGAUGUGGUUCUCUCAAGGUUCUCAGCCGUGUCCAAGUCAUUUUACUGUUUUUUUGUUAAUCUUUUUCUCAAUCGGUUCCAAACUAGUCUCUCCUCAUGUACAAACAUAUCUUGUCGUGUCAUUUCUCAUAUGGCCACACAUAUGUCUUGAUAUUCUCAUUUCUUGUUAUUUUUACUACUUCCACAUUAAUAAUUUAAGAAUCCCUGCAACUAUAUCAUUCGGAGAUUUUGAUAACUGGUAGCAACUUUAGGGAUUGUAGGCGUAGCAUAAAAUGUAUUGUCGUACCUUUUGUUUAUAUCUCUCUCUAUUUGCACCUGUGUGGUUUCUUUUACCAAACUUAACAGACAACACAAUCCUCUUAUUCUCAUUUUUGGCAGUGAUGUGGUAUAUACAAACUGGAAGGAUUCUCCAAGAUCAGUGCUCGAUAUUUAUCAUGAACUUAUUGGAAUGGGACUGAAGAUAUGGGUGUUCAGGUUAGUGUUAUUUUCUUAUAUCUAGAUGUAACCCUAUAGUUACAAAAACAUUCCUUUUUAGUCCAUAUAGGUAAAAGCAUCCCUUUUAUUCUUACAUAUACCGUUUUAAAUUUCGCUCUCCCUAUACAUAUUAUUUUUUCAUACACAUACCGUUUUAAAUCUCUCCCUAUACAUUUUUUUAUAAUUCCUUCAUCCCUACGAGAAGGAAUAAAAGGGAUUAAAAAUGAUAUAUGUACAGACUAAAAAGAAAUUAUUUGAAGUAUAGGGACUAGAAGGUAAAGUUUUUGUAACAAGGAUCAAAUGAUUGAUUAAACCUAAUACCUAUAUAUGUCUUUAUACGCGUUUACUCGUUUGUUUGAUGUCAUACAUAUAUCUAAAGUGAGCUAGGAAGAGCUUGAAAAUUCUCAGCAUCUGUUACGUUGCCUCAGACAAUUUGCUAAUUACUUAUGAUCUGAAAAGAUUACAUUUAAGAUGUAUCCCUCUUGAUCAAAUUCAUGAUUUCACUUUUAUUUUUAUCAGACACUUGAACACCCAUAAAAGAAAAACACAGAAGGAAUACUUAAUAGCAUGUGCUCAAUUAAUCAUCCAGUACAAAAUCAUUUCAAUGUAUUCUGAUUACUAUUAUUUUAUUUCAAGCACGGUAUUAAGGUUUUGUAACUAAAGUGGAAUGGAGCUCAAAUACGUUAAGAACCAUUCAUUCCAUUCUAAGUUAUUUAUUGUCCUUGAUUUCAGUGGUAAUACGGACGUGGUAAUACCUGUGACGUCUACUCGCUAUAGCAUAAGUGCUCUGAAACUCCCAACCUUGAGUCCUUGGCGUGCAUGGUACGAUGAUGGGGAGGUAAGUGAUUGUACAAUGAGUUGGUUUCUCUUAGAUUAUUUAGUGUUAUUAUUACGACCCUUUUACGUGAUAUAAAUGAAACAGGUUGGAGGAUGGACCCAAGAAUAUGCUGGGCUUACGUUUGUGAUUGUAAGGGGUGCAGGGCAUGAAGUUCCUUUGCAUAAACCAAAACUUGCUCUCACACUCGUCCAAACCUUCUUGGCAGGAACAUCAAUGCCCAAUCUUGACUUACUCAGCACCUCUUGAAAUUUACAUUUACUGUUACCACGGUACCCUAUUUUCCAUUUUAAAAACUUCUCUAUUGUUGUAAUCAUCAACUUGGAUAACUUAAGAAAACAAAUUCG
rnacentral:lncRNA from 1 species